UACGUAGGGGGCAAGCGUUGUCCGGAAUUAUUGGGCGUAAAGCGCGCGCAGGCGGUCAUUUAAGUUUGGUGUUUAAUCCCGGAGCUCAACUCCGGGUCGCACUGAAAACUGAGUGACUUGAGUACAGAAGAGGAGAGUGGAAUUCCACGUGUAGCGGUGAAAUGCGUAGAUAUCAGGAAGAACACCGAUGGCGAAGGCAGCACUCUGGGACGGUACUGACGCUGAGACGCGAAAGCGUGGGGAGCGAACAGG
rnacentral:rRNA from 1 species